AGUCGGGUCAGAGGUGGACUUAAGAUAUAGGAUCUGCUCCUAGGAUAACCUCUUAUUCGCCUAUAAAAUUACAUACAAUAUUAAAUCAAUAUUAAAUCUGUUUCUUGUAUGUCGGUGCGUGGCUCACUCCUUGGUUACAAUGAAUUUGGAAAAUCUUAGAAAUAUUGAUAUUGAAGACAUUUAUUUUUCAAGUGAAGAUGAAGAAGAAGAAGAAAUUCAAGUGCGUGUUAUUUAAAAAAUAUGUUAUUUAAGAAAUAAUGUAAAAAAAUAUAUUCGAGAUGGCCAAAAUCCCUUAGAAUUUUAUAAUGGAAAAGAGUUUAAGAAACGGUUUCGCUUUUCGAAACAAUCUGUUUUAUUUGGAAUAUUACCACUAAUAGAAGAAGGACUUAGAAAACCAAAUAAUCGGGUUUUACCGAUAUCCCCAAUAUUACAAUUAUUAAUCUGUUUACGAUUUUAUUCGAUAGCAAGUUUUCAGCUUAUUGUAGGUGAUAUAUCAAAAGUAUCCCAAUCUACGAUCUCAAGAAUUGUUCAUCGAGUAUCAAUUUUGAUAGCUAGCUGUAUAAUUCGAUACAUAAAAAUGCCAGUAUCAGAUGAAGCACGCUCAGAAAAUAAAUGUUUAUUCAAAGUUCGUGGAUAUGGUCCUGAAGCUAUAGGUCUUCCUUGUGUUGAUGGAGCCAUUGUACACAUAUUCGAUUGGUACAUACUAAAUUUCAAGCUAUUGACGAGAUUUGUAGGAAUCGAAAGGGCUACUUUUCCUUGAAUGUACAAGCAGUUGUUGGACCACGUACAGAAUUUUUAGACAUAAUCCCAGAAUGGCCAGGAAGCGAACAUGAUAGCCGCAUUUUUCAAAAUUCGCGUAUAUAUAUACGAUAUAGGCAACAAGAACUUGAUGGAAUGCUUGUUGGAGAUGCUGGUUAUCCGGCUUUGCCGUUUUUACUUACACCUUUUGUCAAUCCCAUGAUUGAUGAAGAAAUAAAGUUAGAUAAAUAAAUUACAAUUACAAUAAACAAUCAUGUGAUGCAGAGAGCACUAAUUAUCCAAUAAUGUUAGAAAUAUAUCCUGAG